AGGCUGGGACGUUCCACGGGUUCACUUCCUGGUUCAAAGUUCAGUUCCAGAGCCUGGAGAGAGACCAAACCACAUUGGAGUUAGACACUGGGCCCUACUCUGAGCCAACCCACUGGAAGCAGACUCUGUUCAUGCUGGACGGGCCGAUCUCGCUGCUCGGUGGAGAGACGGUGUCUGGAAUCAUCCUUCUACACCGGAACCCCGUCUGGAGACGUCACAUGACUGUUACCAUCCAAUGGAGAAUCAGCAUCACAGAGGAAACAGGAAACUGCAUGGUCCAGACAAAGAGUUUCCCUAUGUGGAGAUGAUGACAUCAUAGGCUGUCAUUGAAGGAUAUAGCAGCCAGACCUCUCUGAUAUUAGCCUUGUCCCAGAUCUGUUUGUGGCUUUGCCUACUCCAUUGUCAUUGUCAAGCCAAACAUGACAAUUCCAUAAGGAGUGUUGUGGAAAUUACCACCAGGGACUCCAAGUCAAACUUAAAUGAUCAUACUUUAUUAUCAGCAAGCUGGAAAGGUUCCAACAAACAUAAUGCACCAAGUAGUACACGUCUGUCAGGAGCUCUGUCAGAGAAGUCCUGUUAGUUCUCUUAUAUACUGCUUUUGCAGACAAGUUAUAUUUGCAUGAUUUACAUUAUUAAAUAUUUGAAUUCAU